GCUGGAUGCGUCUGUGCCUCAGGGGCUUAAAGUCCUGUGACCCUCUGGGUUGCUUAAAGCAGGUGGAGGCUGAAGAGGUAUUACUCCUGAAGUCUUGUUGAUUAGCUGAGCCAACCUGAAAGGCUGCCUUUCCCACUGGGCUCAGUUUGAAGAGCUGACUUUUGCCGGCACAGACCCUGCUUUGUUGAGGAGCCCUUGACAAGUUGUUCAGCCUUCACGUCUCCUUUUUCCUGUUCGUGUGUUGGGGAUUAAAAGCAUGUACCUGUCUCCUCCCAACAGGAUGAGGUACGCAUUUUGCAAAUAAGGCUGGACUCCUUCUCAGCCACCAUCAACCAAUCUUCUAACAUAUUGAAGUGGACACAGACAGUGGGUCACAUCUGUCAUGUUUUCUCCCAACCAUCGUCCCCCAGUGCUGUGUUAGAGACAGAAUAUUGGAUCGUAUGGAUAAUUGGGCUGGCCCAGGGUGGCGUAUCUCACACAGAGUUAUAGUGACAGGAUGACAUGUUGAAUGGAGAAUCGUAAAUAUUGGGAAUGCCUGGAGAACGGAUUCUUAAUGAAAAUGCUUGCCGGGAUAGACG